UUAGUUAUUCAAUUUGAUUAUUUAUAUUAAUUUAUAAAAAUACAAUUAAUAUAAAACCAAAAGUAAUAGAGUAUUUCUAUACAAGCUAAAACAAAUAUCUACUAAAUCAAAUGAUACAUAUUUCAAAAUCAAAAUUCGCCAUAAAUUUAACAUAAAACGCUAUUCGAUACAUAAUAUUCUAUCAUAUUCAUUGGUUGUGUAAGUUGUUCAAACUUUGAUUGAACAUCUACAUUUUUCUAUUGAAACUUCACAUUCUUUUGUUGAGCAUCCUCAUAUUUUUGUUGAGCAUCAUAUUGUUUGGCUGCGUCUCAACUAACAUCUUCAAUUUUUCAAUCUCAACAUUUGUCUUGGCACGCUCGUUAUCGGCAUUAUUUUAAGCUUCCUACUUUUUACUUUAAAAUUUUACCCAAUUGUAGCAAUCUGAUCUAAAUACAAAAGCUGAAAGUAUAAUGUUAUAAUUUGGUUAGAUUAUUCCAAGUACAAUAUUUUGAUAAGAAAAAAAGAUUAAAACAUAAGGGUAAAAUUGUUAUUUAACAAUUAGUAAUAAAUUGGAAACAAACGAUGUUUUCUUAUCCAAAAUCCAAAUACUUUAGUGAUAAAUGACUAACUUCAACUUAAUUUUAGGAUUAGCCUCUUUAAAACUCAAAAUGGAACUAUUUUUUGAAGUACAAUGUCCUAGUAUGUAUAAAAGAUAAAGUACAAUGCUAUAAUGGGGUCGAUUUUCCAAUGUAAAAAUAUCUUGAUAAGAAAAAUAUCAAUAAAUAAUGUUGUAAUUUUGUCAUUUAUUUAACCUAGACAUAAGGGUAAAACUGUCAUUUGCAGAAAACAAAGGAUGGUUUUGUUAUCACCUGGAGUAAAGUGGAGUGGAUUGGAACCUAAGAUAAGAAAAUUUGUCUCAAGAAGUUGAGUGGGUAUGAGUGGAGCAUAACCUGGAAUAAGAAAAAACAAACCAUAAAUUUUAUGGGAUCAACCAUCUACAUAAACAGAACUAAUCAUCAAUCCAGUUGAUAUAUGUAAAGGGAAGGAUAAACAAUAUUGUUCCAGGGGACACCCCUCUAUCACAGCCACAAGGCUUUGAGCCGAUACAAGAGUAUCACUGUCACCAAAAUAUCUGAAUGCCUACAAAUGAAAUCAUUCCUACCUAUUUAGUACUCUCUCUCGCUCUCUCUCUCUCUAUAACAUAUCUUAGCCAUUUUCCAGAUUUGCCCUUAUUACUUCUUCCAGAAUAAUCCUCUAGCAGCUUUGAUUCAUUUUCCCUUUUAACUACCAUAUUAUGAUCUAUAUCAAAAUAUGUCAAAUCUCAAAUAACAACAUAUCCUUUACUUAACGUUUUGUUUCAUUUUUUAACUUUUAUAGACAACAUAAUUACCAUUUUCUCUAUUUCCUAAUUUACUUUUGAUUGAGCUUGAUUUUGAUAAUAAUAAUAAAAAAAAUAGUGAUCACCUUUUAUUUGUUCGAAAUUUUCAUUGGGUUUCAACAGUUGAUUAAAUCUACAAAAGAAAAUUGGAACUAGAAUUAUAUAAUACUUCAUAGAAUUAGGAAUAUUUUGCCAUAUGUAUACAUAUAGGCAUGUUUUUUUAUGCAUAACUACUUAUGUGAAUCAGAUUUACCUGAAGUUAGAGAGGCUCAUUAUAUGAUUAAGAUGUAAGAGGUGAGAGGCAAAAAAUUGGAAUGGAGAAAAGAGAAGAGAUCAAACUGCAAAAUAAUCAAGCUACAAAAAAUCAAGUGUUUUCUAAAAUAAUCAGAUACCUGAAAUUAAAGGUAGAGUUAUAGUUAAAAGCUUGUAUAAUGCUUCAAAGAACUCCAAGCCUUUACAAACAGGAAAAGUAAUGUCAAUUCCAACACACACACACAUACACAAAAGCACUCAAACCACACACAACCAUACACACAUACUCAAAACAUAAACUGAGAUAUAUAUUGAUCAUAUCAUUGUACUCGCAUCACAAACAACCACUGACACAACACAAAUCAUUUAUGUCAUUACAGAGAGCAUAAUCAUCUUGUAAUGUCCCUAGAGAUAAACAUAUGAUGGAAUCCAACUACUAUACCUAUUAUGUCAAACUCUAACAAAAUUCCUGGUCUUGUGGGCAAACUUUCAAGCAAUCAAAGAAAUUCACUCCAACAAAGAAAUUAGGUCCUCUACAACGCAAAUCUUAGACAAAGGACAUAAGUAGUACUAUUGGAAGCAAUAAUUUAAUAGAAACCGACAUGAAUGAACUCGAGCCGGUCCUCGAGGUUCACGUAGGUCUUAGUGGUGAAUUAUGUAGGUUUUAAGAAGCAAACAAAACAGAGAAGAAGAUUACCUAGUAGGGACGAAGGCGAUCGAGAAAAAAAUGGUGAAGAUGAGUAGAACAAUACACAGCAAACAUGAUUAACGGAGCAGGUGGCAAACGUAAGAGCAAACAAGAGGAGUGAAGUCCGAUCGAUAAUGGUGUAAAUGGAGACAGACAGCGGAAUUUGAGGUGUGAAUUUGAAGGAUUGAAAAAGGAUUUUAAAAGAUCAAAGCCUCGUAUUUGAAGGAGAGACUGAAAAGGUAAUAUUGAUAGGGUUUAUCUUUUACCUUCAAAAUCCAAAUUGAACAUAGUGAGGAUGGAUUCGGUGUUUCUACUCGUCGGAAUAGCCAGACGGCGGUGGUCGAAAGAGGGAGAGAGGCGAUCGACCGUAGGUCAGAGGUUUGAUCGGGUAAACCUCAUUGAAUAACUUCGCAACCGAGUGCAAAAUGAGGUCAAGUGAUUUUACCCAUUCACCCUUCCCUUAAUAUGAAUACAGGGUGUAUUUUCCCAAUCUAAAACAAGUUCCAAAAAGGAGAGAAAAUGGGCUCUUAGGCUCAUUAAUAAAACAAUAAAUAGAGAAAAUGGUCUCUUAGGCUCGUAAAUAAAACAAUAAAUAUUUUUUAGUAUUAUUUAUUUGUUUAAAUAGAUGGGGUUAUGGUUAAUAUAAAGNUUUUUUUUUUUUUUUUUAAAAAAAAAAAAAAAAAAAAAAAAAACUUGAACUAAAAAUAUUAAAAAUAUAUAUAUAUUAAAGGUAAAAUAGCUACGAAGUUUCAUUUCGUAGCAAAGUAGCUACAUAAUUUAGUUCCUUAGAAGUUUUUGUAACAAAAAAGCUAUGAAUUUUUUCACCGUAGCAAAAUAGCUAUGAAAUCACUUCCGUAGCAAAAUUCCGAAGCAUAAUAGCUAUGGAAUUUCAUUCCGUAGCAAAAUAGCUACGGAAUUUAGAUUCGUAGUAAUUUUCGUAGCAAAAUAGCUAUGUAUUUUAAAUUCGUAGCAAAUUCGGUAACAAAAUACCUACGGAUUGCAAUUUCGUAACAAUUUUUCGUAAUUAGUUUUAAGUUUGUAACAAAAUUUAUUUCGUAGAAAUUUCUGUAACAAAAAAUCUACGGAAAAUCAUUUUGUAGUAUAUUCCAUAGCAAAAUAGCUACAAAAUUUGAUUCCGUAGCACUUUUCCAUAGCUAUUCAUGAUUUUUCUUNUAUAUAUAUAUAUAUAUUAUUAAUUUACAAAGACAGAUAUCUAAACAACUAUAAAUAAAAAAGUUUUUUUCUUUUCAAACAAUAAUUAGUUAAUCAUGUCAAAGUUAUGUAAUAAUUUAAAAAAGAAUCAAACACUCAUGCCAUAUAGUGAUGUUAAUUCACAUAACAUGGCAAAUAAAGUAUAACUAUUAAUGGAAAAUUAUAGCAACAAAAAACUCAAUAUUCAUCAUGCAUCUCGCAUUUUGUAAAAGACAUGUAAAUUUUAGUAUGAAAAUAGUUACCAGUAACAAAGCUCUUCAAGCAAUAAAGCAUAAAAAAACACCAUCAAUGUUGUUAUUAUCACUUCUCUCUUUGCAUUCCUAAUUAAUAUGAAAAAAACCAAUUCCACUUCUGAAUGGCAAGCACAUGAAAGUACAAAGCUAUAGUUUAAAUUUUAUAACAUGCAAUUAGAAGAAAAUAACUGAUUAUAUAAACCUAAAAUGAUUGAAAUUCAAGAUCCAAAUAAAAACCAAAAUUUAUGAUCAUCAAAAGAUAACUAAAUCAAUCAAUUACAUGAAAACUGAUUUGUAUUUUUGUUUCAUAUCUUUUAUACACUUGCAGGUUCUUCACUUGAAGUUUGAUAAAUUAUGACAUGAUUGGUUUGCAAUUAUCUUUUUUAAAUCUACCAUAUGGUUAAACAUCUUACCAAUAUCACAUAUCUGAUUAUAACUUCAAUAAUUUAAUACAUAAACUUGACAUGUUUACUUAAUUUACAGUUCAAUAACAUGUAAAAUUGCAGUUUGGGAUUUAAGUUUUCUUUCGAUUUUUUUAUCAUGUUGUUGAUGAGUUUCAUUCUUCUUGCUUAUCUACUGUUAUCAGAAGCAGCACUACCAAAACAAUAGACUAAAACUUGGAUCAAAAUUACUACUUUUACUCUUAGAUAACCAGUCAUGCAGACAAUAGACUAAAACUUGGUAAAUAACUUAGGAAGCUUGGCUAUAUUGAAAAUCAAAGUUGCUUCUUUUAUCUCGUGAUUGUAAACACCAUUCUAAAAAUCCAAUGAUAAGGUCACUACAAGGUCAAUUAAACAUAAAACUUGGUAAAUGAUAGUUAAGAAGCUUACCCAUCAGUAUAAUUAAAUACAAAAUCUGAUCUUAAAUUGUCUUAGAUUUAAUACACUGUGAUUUGUGGAGACUUUGUCUACUUAUAUUCGAGCACUUUUUUGCUUUUUUUCGUCAUAGAACUAAACAUUCUAUGUUGCAUGAUUAACAAAAAAAAAUGGUUUAUUGUCUAGGAGUUUACUAUGCUAAUAACCUUUUUCUUUUCUUUGAGAUGCUCAAAUGGAAUCGCUUGUUGAACUAUCAUAUCCUUAUUAAAACAUAAAAGUUUUCGAAAUAAUUAAAUCGGACAUGCUAUCGAUGUUUAUUAUGUUACUUUUAAGCUAUAUGAAAUUUCUGGCUGGGAAAGGUAAGAAAUAGCAAAAUAAUGUUUACUAAUUUUAAUGAGCAAUAAGUUUUGCUACUAAAGUAUCCAUAAAUCAACAAACUAAUUGACAAAACUGCAAAUUUGGUCCUUGUGGUUUUCAAAAACCUUUGGAUGGGGUCCAAAAAGUUUCCAGCUUGCAUGGAAGGUCCAAAAUCAAGGUUUUUCUGGGUUUUUGGUCCAAAAAAACUUAAAAAGACGAUUAUGCCCUUUUAUUUUCUUUUUUGUAUUUUUUAUAAUUAUUCUAAUGAUGUUUUAAUUAAAAAAUAAAGAAAAAAGAAAAAAAAAAGUAUCCCCACCCUCUCUCUUUCUCUCUGAACCAACACGCCUUAAGACACACACACACAUCUCUUGAGCUCUCCGACAAAACUAACACAUAUAGAGAAUCGAUCUCUCAAAACCCCCAUGUGUAUCUCAAUCUCUAAAAACAAUCGAUUUUCAAUCCAUCUGUAUGAACGAUCGUUGUGGUGUUUUGGCUCCAUCAAAUCGUCGGUAGUGUUACAGUAGUGGUGGUUGUUUUAUGGCUCUCCGAUGAACGGACCUGCGUAAGGGAUGCACCUAUGUUUUACUCUGAAGACGAAGGUUGAUGAUGGUCUGGUUGCGAUUUAUUCAAGACUUGUUCACAUACCCAUUCCUAUUUACUCCUCCUCCCUUCUUCUCCUUGUUCGAUUCUAGUCGAUUUCAAAUGGGAUUUUCAAGAUGUAAAUUGGGUUAAUCGAUCAAAGGUUGUAGUGUUUUUUGAUUUAAUUCGUUGGUGAAAUUAGUAUCGAGAGAUGGAGAAGCUGAAUUUUGUGAAAAACGGUGUCCUGAGACUGCCACCUGGGUUCAGGUUCCACCCGACGGAUGAAGAACUUGUGGUACAAUACUUGAAGCGCAAGGCCCAGUCUUGCCCUUUGCCGGCAUCCAUCAUCCCUGAGGUCGAUGUGAACAAGUCUGAUCCAUGAAAUUAGGGUUCUUAAGAACUGGUCAAAAAUUAGGGCUCGUCACAAUGUCUCAAGCUUUUCUUCCUUUUCCUCAGUACCUCAAUCGGAGAGGAUGUUCAGUGGUGAUGAUAGUGAAAAAGGGCAUGUAGGAGGUGAGAUGACGAUGGUGAAGAAACUAUGGUCUGUCACUAUCUCUCAAGCUUUCUAUCUGUUUAUCAGCGAAACUAUCUUGUUGUAAUCAUGUUAAUUAAAAGACGUAGAAGAAGAUGAUUUGGGAGAUUCUUGAAGAGAAACCAUGGUAGAUCGUAGGAUUUAACAGGGACAAAAAUUCCAUCUACAUCCUCCGUAUUCUUCAUAGAUUUCCAAAUAAACAACCAUCAUAAUCGCAAAAGGGCCNAAGAGAGAGGGGGGGGGGUGGGGAUACUUUUUUUCUUUUUUCUUUAUUUUUUAAUUAAAACAGCAUUAGAAUAAUUAUAAAAAAUACCAAAAAGAAAAUAAAAGGGCAUAAUCGUCUUUUUAAGUUCUUUUGGACCAAAAACCUAGAAAAACCUUGAUUUUGGACCUUCCAUGCAAGCUGGAAACUUUUUGGACCCCAUCCAAAGGUUUUUGAAAACCACAAGGACCAAAUUUGCAGUUUUGUCAAACUAAUUCAAGUUCCACAAUUUGUCAAACAAUUGGCAGGCGAAACACAAAUAAGUUAAAGAAAUGGGGAUCCACCAGUUACAUAUGCCGCAAACAUUCACUCAAAAUAAUACCCAAAAAAUAAGUAAUCAGUUAAAGUCAUUCAGGCAUUUCAACAAACACCUUACACUCAAUAUACAAAACCAAAAUCAAAUGUGUUGCAGAAAACCAGAAUAAAUCACGAACAGUAGACUCAUGUGAUGUAGGGAGAAUUCCAUGCCUAUUUGUUCUACAUUCACCAAGACUUAUGUCUUGCAAAGCAGGGCCAUUGACUGAUGUUUUUUGCUUCUUAUUAUUAAAGAACCAAAAGCCAAACAUACAACAAAAGUGAGUAAAAGAAUGCUAGUAUUAAAAGUUCAACUAUUCUACCAAUGAUUUGUACUAAACCUUAUGAAAAGAAGUAUACAAAUUGGUUACUGAAAACGCACAUAUGUUGAGAGGAUGACAAACAAACAACCACACACGUAUUUGAUGUACACAAAUCAUAUAGAAUAAGAAGACAUUUGAUUACUAACCUGAAAUCAGUGGGUUGAUUAGAAUAACCUUCAAAUUGAUGCCAGAAACCAAAUGUACUUAAUUUGAUGAUUAUGUUGAGAGAGACGAUAUUCAAAGAGACAGGCGACGAAGUCUAUGGGUAUCGUUUAUAGAGAGAUUUGCCCAACUUGACAGCCGUUUGAAUAAAAUUUAUAGAAGCAACAAAAACCCAAAUUGGCAACAAAACUGAUGUUAUCACUUGAGUAUACUAAAUGAAACAAUCAAUUAGGGAGAAAAAGAAUCAAAACAUGAGGAUAAACACGAUUGCAAGAAAAUAAGAUGAAAGGGAAAAAGAAAAAAAGUUGAUUUACCUUUCUAUGUGAUUAAGCCGCCUCUAUAUCUACAAUCUGAAAAAGAGAGCAAAUGUGAUUUUAGGUUUUAAUCAACUUCCUACAUUCAAAACAAACAUAAUUUUGAGGGGAUAAUGAGAAAAAAUAACAUCAAAGUGGAUCAUAUCAACCGACAUCUUCAUUUGUCGAAAUUAUACCAUCAAAUAAAAAAAAACAAAAACGCAUACUUAAAAAUCGAGAAAAUAAAAUUAAAUAUGCUUUUACUGGUUCAAGAAAACCACACGUUUGGUUGAAGAUGUAUAUGUAAAAAAUUGGAAGAUGCAUUCGAGGUAUAUACGACGUGGGAAGAAGCGUACUCCACUGAUUUCAGAUUUGGAUAGAAUUACAUUCCCGAUUUGCAGAAAAAAUCAUCUUGGUUUCAAAAGAGGUUAAAGAGAAUUCAAAUUUGAAAUUUUCAAUCCCAAAAAUCAA
rnacentral:lncRNA from 1 species